UACGUAGGUGGCAAGCGUUGUCCGGAAUUAUUGGGCGUAAAGCGCGCGCAGGCGGUCCUUUAAGUCUGAUGUGAAAGCCCACGGCUCAACCGUGGAGGGUCAUUGGAAACUGGGGGACUUGAGUGCAGAAGAGGAGAGUGGAAUUCCACGUGUAGCGGUGAAAUGCGUAGAGAUCGGGAGGAACAUCAGUUGCGAAGGCGGCUCUCUGGACCAGCACUGACACUGAGGCACGAAAGCGUGGGGAGCAAACAGG
rnacentral:rRNA from 1 species